GGGGUCGUGGUUAAAACGUCACCCUUAUUAACUACGUGGCAAAUGGGCUCGCUCCCUACCACAGUAUAUAAGUGGUUGUUUAUGCCUCCCAGAAUGCGUUAUGGUCGAAAACUUGCCCCUUCCUUUCGUUGCUAUGGACUACAGAGACUGUGCAGGUGGGAUGUGCUGCUCCAAACUGUGUAGCAUGGUAGUUUAACGCAGCGUCGGGUCGGAGCGCCAGCUGUUGCCGUCACGACUAUUAAAGACGCUAUCAUGAGUUUCGUAUGUGCCAUCGCGAGUAUCAUGUCAUCGGAUCACGGGACCUCGGUUUUGCAUGCGUUAAGGCGGGCUGAGUGAGAUGUGGUCAUCUGUAAAGCCGCUUUAAGACAAUGUCUAUUGUAAAAAGCGCUAUACAAAUAAAAUUGAAUUGAAUUUCGGUAUAGCGCCUCCCCCUCACUUGUGGAGCCACAUUGGUGCUUGGUUGCUUUGGGGCUGCUUGCUGUUUGGUCUUGCUGCUUCAGUUUGUUUUGUCUUUUACUCUGUGGUCUUGUUCUUUUAUUUUAUGUUGGUUACUGUCACAAAGCUCGGUUUUCUUUUAGUUCAACUGUGUUCUAACAGUCUUAAUCAGUUAUGCUGAUACUGCUAUGUGUUAGUGGUUUUGGUCAGCUUAGGUAAACUUGCUACCUGUACUCCGUAUGUGUGAGGGUUGGGGUUGGGUGUUUUUUUUUUUAAACUUCAAAAUAAAAUGUAUAUUUGCAUGGAAACCCAUGCCUCUUGCCUGUUCUAAGUGGAACGUAUUUGGGUUAUUUCUCACUUUCUCAGGGUGGUAGUUGGUACAAAACGAAACAAGCCGCAUAGUUACACGUGGUGUAGUUGUUGCUAUGAGACGAGCCACAUUGCUACCCGUGGCAUAGUCGGCAGGAUCUCCAUAGUAUAUCUACAAAACGAGCCACAUUGCUACAUGUGUUUUGUGUUUUAUAUCGUUUGUAACAAAAACAUGGGGUAGUAUAAAAAUAAUUAUGCUGAAAAACAAUGAAAACUUAAGUGUUACUUUUUCUACCUGAUGCUCUAAUAUAUACAGAUUGACAUACAUCUGCUGUAAUACAACACAAGUAGUUACAUAGGUUAUUCAAGAAAAAUUAAUGAAGGUAUAAAUUUAAUUGUAACAAACUAAAUCGUGCUGGAACCGGAAUCUCAGUAAAUGUGGGCUAAGGGUCAGUGGAGUGGAUAGAGGGUUAUAAUCUGUUUUACCUGAUUCAGUGUAUCAUUCUUAGAUGAUGCAUAAUCUGGAAUUCUGUGGUGCUGUGCAUCCCUGUUUUUUGGGCUCCAAGGUUGGUGGGGAAUAAGAAUCAUCCAUCUUCAACCGCUUACUCCUUUUCAGGGUCACAGGGGAACCUGUAGCCUACCUUGUAUCCAGAUGCACAAGGGAACCUGGCGCAUCAGGCACAAGGCAGGGUACACCCUGGACAGGGCACACAUUCACACACCCAUUCAUACACUACGGACACUUUAGACAUGCCAGUCAGCCUACCAUGCCAUGCAUGUAGGCAAGGAGAAUAGUAGACAUUGUCCCUCCUCCUACACUGAAUAAAACAUAUGCCUCUGUUAAUAAAUCUAUAAAGUCCAUGGAAUGCCAGACAGACUUCAUCUGGAUGCACAAAUGUAAACCCAACAUGUCUAAUAGACAGACAUUUGGUGGCACAGCCAUUUUAUUUAGAAAUGAUGUGAUUUGAACAGUAUGAUGUGAACAGUAAUUUGCAGUUAACAGCAGUGCAUUUAACCCUGCAGAGAACCA